CCAAAGGAGUGGCAGCCAGAGGAGCAGAGAUGGGAGUCCAAGGGCUAGCAGUGACCUCUGAAGAGCCAGCUGAGAGAUGGACAUUUGGUUUAGGGAUAAGGACUCUACUCUCCAGCCUGACUGUAAUCAGUCAUCCAGAAAGGCAACAAGUAGAUGAGUGUGUGCCUUGAAAUCUGGAAGUGCCAGUUCUUUGGAAUCCUUACUAUACAAGCAACUUCGGUCAAAUUAGGUUUUUAGGGCACUAACAGGUGCAUAGUACCAACAAAACACCUCAACAACCAGUUAAAAGCUUUGUUUUCCUGCUCUCCUGGCUCUCCUGUGAAAAUCCUCAACAACGAGCCACAGGCUUGCAGAGCACCACGGAAUGGUAAACCUGCUUAUCAGGCCACCUUCUAGGAUACACAGAACUCAUGGUCAUAUCCUUGAACUAGAAUAAAAACCUGCUCCAUGAUCUAGA